UUAAUCAUUACGGUUGGAUUUGAUUUUAUUGUGUGAUCUUGCUAUUAUACUACUUAGAUAGUGUUUUAUUCUUUAUAAAAACUGACAAUUAAUUGCGCAAUACAUUAAGAGUGGACGCAAAUAAAACACAAGCCUUACAUCCUCAUUGAAGUCGCUUGAAGUUGUUGCCCCAUGCAUGCAUCUGAUCUUUUUUAGAGAAUGUAUGGACAUUACUGGAAGUGAUGACACGGAUCUUGUUGAUGAGUUACCGGAUCUUAGUUGCUUUGCUAAAGACGAAAUAUCAAGAGUUGGGAUGCGGUUUGAGCAUUUGAAGCUGGCUUAGGAUUUUUAUGCAACAUAUGCAAAGAAAGUCGGUUUCGAUUCAAUAGCGUAGCGGAUGGUUAUUUGGUACCCAAAUGGUUAUUUUGUAAUAACCUUGGUGUGGUGUGUAUAAUUAGUUACAAUUAUGUUAAACUGGAUAUUCGAUUUAAUAGGAUAGCAGAUGUUUAUUUC